GCAUGAGCAAAGUGAAUUUCGCUCAUCACUGAGUAAGCACAACCUGUCACUCCACCAUAGGGGUUCCAUGGCAGAGCUUAUAGAUGAGAAGCAGUGACUUCCAGCCAAGCUUGAGCUCUGGCACUACUUAUUCUAGAAAUUUAACAAUGGGAAGUUAAUCAGUUACUGAAUUUGUGGCUGGUCAUUUAGUUUGGCAGUGUUCAUAAUAUAUGUAAACAAAAAGAUAACAGCAAGUAUAGUACAUCCAGCUCUAUAACUAGACAUGUUACUUACAAAUGAAGCACUGUGUGACAUUUCAUUUUACCAUCACAACACCAUCUGUUUCUUUCCUUUUUUAAAAAAAUAUAUAGAUUAAACAUAAUGCAGUCAUUGUUGCAUCACCGGUAGUACCACUUGACGUAAUUCAGCGAGGGAUAAAACAUGCCAAUUUUAAUGGGAGUCAAACUGGAGAGGAAACAGGAGUGAUAUCAUCUUCCAGUCAGGAUCUUCUGACUGGGUGGCCUGUGACUGGUAGCACUCAUUCUGUGAAAGAGCUGCAACCAGAACAGGAAUGAAGCAAGAUCUUCUCAACCUUAACUCGCUGCGCACCUACAACCGUGGCAAAAAUGGAGCAGACACUUGUUUUGUUUCUCAGAAUUAGUUACCAACUCCUGGAAAAGCAGGAAUCAAGUGUGAAAAAAUAAAGUGUUCUGACAUAUUUAUGCAA